rnacentral:rRNA from 1 species
UACGAAGGGGGCUAGCGUUGCUCGGAAUUACUGGGCAUAAAGCGCACGUAGGCGGUCUUUUAAGUCGGGGGUGAAAUCCUGGAGCUCAACUCCAGAACUGCCUUCGAUACUGGAAGACUUGAGUCCGGGAGAGGUGAGUGGAACUGCGAGUGUAGAGGUGAAAUUCGUAGAUAUUCGCAAGAACACCAGUGGCGAAGGCGGCUCACUGGCCCGGUACUGACGCUGAGGUGCGAAAACGUGGGGAGCAAACAGG